rnacentral:tRNA from 1 species
GCCUGGGUGGCUCAGUCAGUUAAGCGUCUGACUUUGGCUCAGGUCAUGAUUUCACGGUUUGUGAGUUCAAGCCCCGCAUCAGGCU